rnacentral:rRNA from 1 species
ACGUGUUACAAUGGCGGGGACGAGCGGGAAGCCACCUGGCGACAGGGCGCGGAUCUCGAAAGCCUGUCCCAGUUCGGACUGGAGUCUGCAACCCGACUCCACGAAGUUGGAUUCGCUAGUAAUCGCGCAUCAGCCAUGGCGCGGUGAAUACGUUCCCGGGCCUUGUACACACCGCCCGUCAAGCCAUGGGAGCCGGGGGCGCCUGAAGUCCGGGACCGCGAGGACCGGCCUAGGGCGAAACUGGUAACUGGGGCUAAGUCGUAACAAGGUAAC